rnacentral:rRNA from 1 species
GUAUUCCGCUCCAUAGCGUAUAUUAAAGUUGUUGCAGUUAAAAAGCUCGUAGUUGAAUUUCGGGAUCAAGGAAUCGGUCAUGCCUUGGUAUGUACUGGUUUUAUUGGUUCUCACCUUCUAAAGAACCAUAAUGUCAUUCAUUUGAUGUUAUGGGGAAUUAGGACUGUUACCUUGAAAAAAUUAGAGUGUUUAAAGCAGGCUUACGCUUGAAUACAUUAGCAUGGAAUAAUGAAAUAGGACAUCAGAUUCUAUUUUGUUGGUUUCUAGGAUCGAUGUAAUGAUUAAUAGGGAUAGUUGGGGGCAUUAGUAUUCAAUUGUCAGAGGUGAAAUUCUUGGAUUUAUUGAAGACUAACUACUGCGAAAGCAUUUGCCAAGGAUGUUUUCAUUAAUCAAGAACGAAAGUUAGGGGAUCGAAGACGAUCAGAUACCGUCGUAGUCUUAACCAUAAACUAUCCCGACUAGGGAUGGGAGGAUGUUAAUUUUAUGAUGACUCAUUCAGCACCUUACGGGAAACAAA